rnacentral:rRNA from 1 species
AGAGUUUGAUCCUGGCUCAGGAUGAACGCUGGCGGCGUGCCUAACACAUGCAAGUCGAACGGAUUUAUAACGAAACCUAGUGAAUUAUAAGUUAGUGGCGGACGGGUGAGUAACGCGUGGAAAACCUGCCGUAUACUGGGGGAUAACACUUAGAAAUAGGUGCUAAUACCGCAUAAGCGCACAGCUUCGCAUGAAGCAGUGUGAAAAACUCCGGUGGUAUACGAUGGUUCCGCGUCUGAUUAGCUAGUUGGUGAGGUAAAAGCCCACCAAGGCAACGAUCAGUAGCCGGCCUGAGAGGGUGAACGGCCACAUUGGGACUGAGACACGGCCCAGACUCCUACGGGAGGCAGCAGUGGGGGAUAUUGCACAAUGGGGGAAACCCUGAUGCAGCGACGCCGCGUGAGUGAAGAAGUAUUUCGGUACGUAAAGCUCUAUCAGCAGGGAAGAAAAAUGACGGUACCUGACUAAGAAGCCCCGGCUAACUACGUG